AAGUACUUUAGUGAUGGAUGUUCAUUAGCAUCUACUCAGAUGAGCUCUCCACUAGGUUUAUCUUUUCAUAUAAUGCCCAAGUAAUUGCAUCAGCAAGCACUGCUUCCCACAUUUUAAAACAAAGUGUAUUUCCAUUCCACAUGGCUAAAGAAGUCUCCACAUUAUUUCCAUUUCAUCCAGAUAACACUUUAUUCUGAUUUUAUAUCCCCCUUUCUUAUAAAAUACACAGAGAUGAGAAAACCUUAGCUCCAAGGGAGAAGUUCGUCAGUUAAGGCAAAAUGAAGAAUUCUAUAAGGGAGAAGAGGAGAAAAACACCAUAAAAUUGGUGUGGAUUCUUUCACUGGAUAAAGAAAAAAAAGUGUCACAGACAAAGAAAAGAGACUUUGGACUUGAAAUAUAAUGAAAGUGAUUUUUCUGAACAGAUGAAGCAGAUGGCAUUUACAAAAGCUACUAAACUUUGUGAAUAGUGUGGAGUUUUCUUUGGUUCUCUUCUUUUCAGAGAAUAUAGCAGUUGAAAAAGCAAUGGGUUUGAAAGUUGAUUACCAGGACUUCACUCCUGUGGAACCAGCUUAAAUUUAACCCUUACUACUUUUAACUAACUGAAUUUUAUUGAUAACCAUUAAUUCUAAUGUGAAUAAUAUGAGAUACAUUUUGAAAAUAUGAUAUUUGUUUGUCAUUAAAAUUACUGUUUUUACAAACCUCAAGUGCUAAA
rnacentral:lncRNA from 1 species